GAGCACGUAGGUGGGUUUGUAAGUCAGAUGUGAAAGCCUUCUGUUCAAAGGAAGAACGGCAUCUGAAACUGCGAAUCUUGAGUGUAGGAGGGGAGAGUGGAACUUCUGGUGGAGCGGUGAAAUGCGUAGAUAUCAGAAGGAGCGUCGGCGGCGAAAGCGACUCUCUGGCCUAUUACUGACACUGAGUGUGCGAAAGUUAGGGGAGCAAACGGGAUUAGAUACCCCGGUAGUCCUAACUGUAAACGAUGGGCACUAAGUAGAGGGGUUU
rnacentral:rRNA from 1 species